CCUGCAACAGGUCCGCGUUUCAAAAUAUGUUGCUGCAAUAAUAUGACUCCGUAUUUCGUGAAUACUUAAUUCUAAUAUCUCAAAAUUUUAGAAGUUCAUUCCCCGCGCUCAACUCCAACUCUCCAAGCAUUGUGGAACCUUUUCGCCGUCGAACCCUUGCUCGGCCCUGCGUCGCCGUCGAACUCAGCCCUUCCUCGGCCCUGCGUUGUUGUCCUCGCCGGUGGGUGUGUGGUCUUGCCUCAUCUCCCCCGUCGCGUCGAUGUCCUCGCCGGUGGCUGAACCACGACUUUUCAGUCGCUGAAAACUCUCCUCUCCUCGGUGUCCUCCCCCGUCGUGGGAGUCUGGUGCUUGCUCGGCCGUCACUCUCCUCGCCACAACAAGUAAUUGUUUUUUUUAGUUUCGUUUUACAAGCCCUAAAAAAACCCUAGUUUCGAAAAUUAGGGCAAAGGAUUUCAAAUUUCGAUUGCUGUUUUGCGACAUAGGUUUUGUAAUCUAAGGGUUUCGUGUUGCGGGGGUGGUGUGUUUUGCUCAGAUGCUGCUGAAUUUCUGUUGGGAUGGUGAUGGGGUGCUUUUUUGGGGUUAGUUCUUUAAAUUUUGAUGCUUUAUAUCUGUGGCAUUGAGUGAAAAUCUUUAUUUCGAGCUUGCCCUUAAUGCGAAGUGAAACUAGCUGUUGCGCAGAUUUCAUGCCUGCCUGACAUUGAAUAUUUAACCUUUCAAAAGCGCAAUGCAAUAUCAUCUACAAGAGGGAAGUCAAAGACUAUUUCUCCGCCACAACCUAUAUGAGUUGUUGUUGUUGUGUCUACCUUGAAACGUGGUAGGCUGCUUCUCAAGUUCAUGGAGGUCAAUUUUCUGCCAGGUUCGUUGAUGGAUCUGUCAGACUCUUUGACAUCAGAUUACCUGAAAUUGUCUCUGAAGCCAGAAGUUUUUGAAGGGAUGCAUGUAAAGCCCUAGCUUUACUCUCACCUGCAAAUGCAAUACACACAGCAGAAGACACCCAAAUAACAAGGCCAAACAACAGAACUGGAACAAGGAUAAAUAGAAGAAGGGAAGAUCGAUUGACUGAACUUAAACUGAAUUGUUACAAGGAGUAGUAGCUUUACAAAUUUCAGUUAGUAACUUUAGGUGGUGGCAACGGCCUUGUGGGUUGCCCCUCUUUCUGGUACAGUUGCAGUGUUGUUGUUGCUUUUCUUCCCCUUUUUGUUGCGCCUGUGGUACACAAGAAAAGUCACCGUUGGUUUUCUCCAAGGGAGUUGUUUUGAAAAAGUUGGACAUGGUGACAGAUGACUUGGUCUAUACUACGAGGAAUACGCCUUAUGCUAGUGAGGAAAUUUAUGUGGUUCGUGAGCAAUGGGCUAAGUUUUUUACCAGCAAGUAUUUAUUAUUGGCCUGAGCGCGUUUGAUCGAGUUGGCUUAGAUGUUAUAGAACAAUCUUUUAUAUUAAAAUGUAUGCGUACGUUGAAAUUGGAACGUACAUAUAUUUAAAUGUAUUACAUGAAAUUUGUUUUGGGAUAUAUAAUAUACAAAACAUCAGUUAUUGUUUUUAUAA